AUGUGCGUAUCCAUGAUACACAGAACCACCAUUCUGCCAUUAACUGUCUUUCCACCAUUAUUCCUGUAUGGGGCCCAUCCAUCCAUUUGUCCAAGCCCCAGUCCCGCCCACCAGUCACAACCGAAAUGUCCUCCUCCAUCCCCUUCCCGCUGGCUCCUUUCCUGGUUAGGAAGUCAGCUUCCUGAAGACAGCCACCACGUCAGCUUUUUAAUUGCAUCUCCAGACCUUACUUAGCAUUGGGCCCCUAAGUGCUUAAAACAAAGGCAUUUUCAUUCAUUCAUCCUCAACACUGUUUUUCAUCUGUUCCUCAAUAUGAAGUUGUUAAAAUUAAUUGAAGGGGGCCAGAACUUCCUCUACAGAAUUCAUUAUUUGGCUUUGAGUUCUAAUGUUGGUGCUGCUAUUAGUAAGCAGAAUUAACAGAUGGGGCCCACAAUGUGUUGUUCACUUGUUUUCAGGAGUUAUUUCCAUAAUCCCAUUUAAAUUUUUCUUGGCAAAGACACUAGAGUGGUUGGCUGUUUCCUUCUCCUUCAUUUCACAGAUGAGGACACUGAAGCAAACAGGGUUAAGUGACUUGUCCAGGGUCACACAGCUAGGAAGUAUCUGAGGCAGGAUUUGAACUCCUAAAGAGGAAACUUCUGGAUUCCAAGUCUAGUGCUCUACUCUCUGGGCCACCUAGCUGUCCAACAACAUACCUAAGUAUAUAGAACUGUUUUCAUUGACCAUGGCAAGCUCUUAAACAAGUCACUUUAUAUCUCUGGGUCUGUUUCUUCAACUAUAAAAUGAAGGAGUUAAUAACAACAGGUAGCAUUUACAGAGCAAUUUAAGGUUUGCAAAGAACUUUUGCCAGUUAUAUCUCAGCUCAGUGAGGUAGUGCUCUUAUUAUCCCUAUUUUACAGAUGAAGAAACUGAGUCUGAUCUGAAACUGAGGCAGUCACCCCUAAUUAGUGGAAUAUGAACUCAAGCCAUCCUGAUGCCAAGCCCAACAUUCUGGCCAUGGUGCCAUCUUGCCUUCUAAAUUAUGGCCCUCUCUAGCUCAUUCUAAGCUCUAAUAUAGCAUAUAGAUAUGCUAGAAAGUAAGGUUGCCUUUCGUUCUAAGAGUGUAUAAAAUAUUCUAUGAGCUAGCUAGGUAGGUUGUAACCAUAUGUCUAAAAACUAAUUUCUAUAGACAUGACAGAACAUGAUCUAUUGAGUGUUUUAAUAAUUUACACAAAAGUAAAUGUGAUGGACAGCUGAAUAGUUCAGUAGAAAUAUAAAGGCCCAGAGACAAGAGGUCCUUGGUUCAAAUCUCACUUCAGACACUUCCUACCUGUGUUAUUCUGGGCAAGUUACUUAACCCCAACUGCCUAGCCCUCAUGGCUCUUCAGCCUUGGAACUGACACUUAGUGUUGAUUCUAAGAUUAAAGUGAAGGACCUUUUUUUUUUUAAGUAAUAUGAAAAACAACCCUUCCUUCAAAUACACUUUAGAAAAUUAUAUCACAAAAGACCAAAUCUGAUUUUUUUAAAAAUAUCUUUUUUUUUUUAACCCUUACCUUCUAUCCUGGAAUCAUUACUAAGUAUUGGUUCCAAGGCAGAACAACUGUAAGACAUUAGGCAAUGGAGAUUAAGUGCCUUGCCCAGAGUCACACAGCUAGAAGUGUCUGAGCUUGCCUCUGGACCUGGUUCUCCAUCCACUAAACCAACCUAGCCUCCUCCAAAAAUAUCCUUUUCUUCUAAAUCAAUAAAAACUAAAUGCCUAAAGUUUGUGGCUGGUUU
rnacentral:lncRNA from 1 species